rnacentral:rRNA from 1 species
GACGAACGCUGGCGGCGUGCUUAACACAUGCAAGUCGAACGGAAAGGCCCUGCUUUUGUGGGGUGCUCGAGUGGCGAACGGGUGAGUAACACGUGAGUAACCUGCCCUUGACUUUGGGAUAACUUCAGGAAACUGGGGCUAAUACCGGAUAGGAGCUCCUGCUGCAUGGUGGGGGUUGGAAAGUUUCGGCGGUUGGGGAUGGACUCGCGGCUUAUCAGCUUGUUGGUGGGGUAGUGGCUUACCAAGGCUUUGACGGGUAGCCGGCCUGAGGGGGUGACCGGCCAAAUGGGGACGGGGAUACGGCCCAGACCCCUACGGGGGGCAGCAGGGGGGAAUAUUGCACAAGGGGGGGAAGCCUGAUGCAGAAACGCCGGGGGGGGGAUGGCGGCCUUCGGGUUGUAAACCGUUUUCGCCUGUGACGAAGGGUGGGUGACGGGAACGGGUAAAAAAGCACCGGCUAAUUACGU